GAAUUGAUGGAAAUGGAGUAUUUACCUUUAGUCAUACAAGGUAUACAGCAAUCGUCAUCAUAGACGUCAUAAACGAAAAUUUGCGUGAAACGGUGAAGGAGAACUGGUCGGAGCUGCCACCUUUUUUGUAUAUUUUGACUUGUAUUGUGCAACUCAACCCGUUUUCUCUGAACUUCAACGUACAAAACCCGUCGGAAUUGCUUCACUCUCGACAAGCGUAGACUACCAAAGCGACUUUAGAUAAGUUUCUUUAACAAAAAAUUUUCGCGAUAAGCGAACGUAGUUUGACAUAUUAUUGAGCGCAAUAAAAUUUACUUUAAAAUUAAAAA